ensembl:lncRNA
AGAAGGAGAGACAAUUGUACUCGGGAGGGGACUGGGCUGGGGCUGGGCUGGGCUGGGGCUGGAGCUGGGCUGGGCUGGGCUGAGCUGGGCUGGGGCUGGGCUGGGCUGGCCUGGGCUCUCCCAUGUGGCAGAGACCUAGCCAUUGAGCUGGCGUUCCUGCGUCCCAGUCAUGGCGGUCAGGUAAGUCACCACUUGGACACACAGGUGUUGGUCAGCCUCUGAGUGAGACGGGCAUGCCCAGCUUGGGUGCGGGACCUUGUGCCCCUGGCUCCUCCCUGCUGCUCGGCCUGAGCUCCGCCCCGCGCCCCCUCCCACCGAGGCCCUGCCUGCCUCUGCUCCCUAGAGCAGCACCGGACUCCACCUCCUCCCAGCUCCACAGCAGUGCAGCAGCCAGUUCCGCUCCUGAACACAGAAUUCCUCCUCCACGCCCUCCCCUGGCGGCUGGGGUCAAAGUGUCGGCCGGGUGUCCGCGGUGGACGUCAUCCGGCUCCCAGUCUGGGUCGGCCUUCACAGGGGAGCACUCGCCUCUCUGCUGUUACAGGCUGUGGGGAACCCCAGGGCCCCCCGAAACCCAGCGAGGAGGGCGCCCUGUCUGUGCCCUGAGGCUUCGCACCCAGAGCAUCCUCACUCACGGGAGAAAGGGCGCUUGGGGGAGCAGGCGGUGUCCUGGGUGCUGAGCAGCUCCGUUGUCUUGGGUCACCGGGAGCACAGGACAGCUGAGCCAGGUCUGUGCGGGCGUGGGCGUUCUGGGAGGGGACCUGCUUCACCUGGGUCCCGCCCUCUCCCCUCCCGAAGGCAGGGCUGGGGCGACCUCAGGGCUGCUGCUCUUGCUCCCUGGGGAUGAUGUCGGCUUCCGGCGGGCUCAUUUCCUGUUGCCUCUCGGCCUCCCGCCCUCCAUCAUUCGUUUCAUUCCCAGCCUCGGAGCCUGACCCGGCUGUUCCUGGUGUGAGGUUCUGCUGAGGCGUCCUCACCAAAGCGGCCUACGGUGUCGCCCUGACUCUCGGCUCCGCGCCAGCUUCCAGGAUGCCUCUGCCGCCUCCAGGGACCGUGUGUGCUGGGUGCCUUCAGCAUACGGAGGGGCGUCUCCAGCUUCCUUCUCAUUCCUGAGAGAAGUCGCUCUGUGUUCUCUCUCCCUGGGAGUCGUGCACCUGACAACCCACAGGGGCCCAGAACCGGCCCCCGUGCCAGCCUCGUGCCCAGCCCCGCUGCUCUCCAGCGUGGCCGUAGCCGAGGGCGUGGAGAGGGACUCCUGGCAGGAGACUGGUCAGUUCUCUUCCGGCUCCCUACCCAGCACCUCCCGGCCUGGACGGUGGGGUUAGCAUGGAGAAGGGGCCGGGCGUCUCCUCUUAUUUUGCGGCGCGGCCUCUGCCGUAGACAGAGACAGGAAGGCACUAACCACCUACGUUGCUUUCAGUUGAAAUUUUUCCUUUCCUCGUUUUCUGUGGUUGCACAGUGUUUUCAAGAACAGCUGGAGAGGUGUGAAGCCGCGUGACCUGAGCGUGCCCUGCCCCCGGGCUGCCGGUUGUCACGCACCCUGAAUGGCCGCCUAAAACCCAGCCACUUCUGGGGAGGCCACUCUUGCUUCGGGCCAGGGGCUUGGGGACAACCUUUGAUGCCACCUAGCCCUGGGCUGCGGUGCGCCCACCGAGCCCUCCCAGACCUGGCCAUCUGCUUCCC